ACAUCGCCACAAGACGGGCGGACGCGUGUUUUUCGUGCCAAAGCCUCUUCCUCUGCAGAUGACGUUGGUGAUUAAUAUCUGUGAGCAGCACUGACCUAUGCCUGAGUGAAGAGACAUAUAAGUAGGUGCAGAUUGGUGUAGGCUUUGUGCUGCCUUAUAACAGUGGCAGUAUAUUUAAAGUGUACAUCAGAUGCCAAGUGUGCAAUAGAUGUGGGCCUGUGGACACCAGCAGAAGCUGGGGAAAGACGCCUGACUGGGCAGGCCUGCCGCACAGUUUGGAUUCAACC